rnacentral:rRNA from 1 species
CAGUCGCCACGGGAAUACGUAGGUGGCAAGCGUUGUCCGGAAUUAUUGGGCGUAAAGCGCGCGCAGGUGGUUUAAUAAGUCUGAUGUGAAAGCCCACGGCUCAACCGCGGAGGGUCAUUGGAAACUGUUAAACUUGAGUGCAAGAGGGGAGAGUGGAAUUCCAUGUGUAGCGGUGAAAUGCGUAGAUAUAUGGAGGAACACCGGUGGCGAGAGCGGCUCUCUGGCUUGAAACUGACGCUGAGGCUCGAAAGCGUGGGGAGCAAACAGGAUUAGAUACCCCCGUAGUCCCUGUCUCUUAUAC